rnacentral:rRNA from 1 species
UACGUAGGGUGCGAGCGUUGUCCGGAAUUAUUGGGCGUAAAGAGCUCGUAGGCGGCUUGUCGCGUCGGAUGUGAAAACCUCGGGCUUAACUCGGGGCUUGCUUUCGAUACGGGCAGACUAGAGGUAUGCAGGGGAGAACGGAAUUCCUGGUGUAGCGGUGAAAUGCGCAGAUAUCAGGAGGAACACCGGUGGCGAAGGCGGUUCUCUGGGCAUGAUCUGACGCUGAGGAGCGAAAGUGUGGGGAGGCGAACAGG